CAUGGCCUGGGCUGCUCUCCUGCUCAUGCUCCUCUUUCACUGCACAGGGUCCCUCUCACAGCCUGUGUUGACUCAGGAGCCUGCCAUCUCUGCAUCACCUGGAACAACAGCCAGACUCACAUGCACCCUGAGCAGUGGUUUCAGUGUUGGCAGCUAUGGAGUACAGUGGUACCAGCAGAAGACUGGGAACUCUCCCAGGUUUCUCCUGCGUUACUACUCAAGUACAGAGUUGGGACCAGGAAUUGGCAAUCGCUUCUCUGGAUCCAAAGACACCUCAACCAAUGCGGGACUGCUGCACAUCUCUGGGCUUCAGCCUGAGGAUGAGGCUGACUAUUACUGUAUUAUUGGAUAUAGUAAUACUAAUCACAAUGACACAGGCAGAGGAGGAAGUGGUACUGAAGCUUCCAUUUCAAAGUCUGAACAGAGGAGUCUACAGAAGGAUGCUGAGUUUGAGGUCUGGGUGAACAUUGAUCUGUUCCAAGAAAAGCGGUAA